UACGGAGGGUGCGAGCGUUAAUCGGAAUGACUGGGCGUAAAGGGCACGCAGGCGGUGGGUUAAGUCAGAUGUGAAAUCCCCGAGCUUAACUUGGGAACGGCAUUUGAAACUGACCGACUAGAGUCUUGUAGAGGGGGGUAGAAUUCCAGGUGUAGCGGUGAAAUGCGUAGAUAUCUGGAGGAAUACCGGUGGCGAAGGCGGCCCUCUGGACAAAGACUGACGCUCAGGUGCGAAAGCGUGGGGAGCAAACAGG
rnacentral:rRNA from 1 species